GAAUAUUAGUCAAUGCUCGAAAGAGUGAACUAGCUAACUGAAAUCAAUUAUAAUAAUUGAUAACAUAAGGGAAAAUAAUGAUAUUACCUUAUUAUUAGUGUCGUCCAAAACUGGUGCCAGAAGACUCGGUAAGGCCAGAGACACAAACGUUAAUCGUCUUAAUCAGGCGUAAAGGGUUUGUAGGCGGCUUUAAAAUUUACUUAUAAUAAAAAUAAAUAAGUAAAAAAUAAAAGCUAGAAUCAAAUAGAGGAUAUAUGAAAGAAUGCUUAGAGUAGGUCUGAUAUCCUUAGAUACUAAGUAGAAUAUUAAAGGCGAAAGCUUUUUUCCAUUAAUGAUUGACGCUCAGAAACGAAGGUGAGGAUAGGAAAUAGGAUUAGAUACCCAGAUACCCCUCUCUGUCAACGAUGAAUGGUAGUUAUUAGUAAAAAUUUUAUUAAUGGCAAUGUUAACACGAUAACCAUUCCGCCUUGUGAGUACAAUUGCAAAAUUGAAAACAAAAAAAUUAGUCGGUUUCGGAGCAAACGAAGUGAAGCAUGUUAUUUA
rnacentral:rRNA from 1 species